rnacentral:rRNA from 1 species
UAGCCCUACGGGAGGCAGCAGUGAGGAAUAUUGGUCAAUGGGCGCAAGUCUGAACCAGCCAUGCCGCGUGCAGGAAGACGGCUCUAUGAGUUGUAAACUGCUUUUGUACGAGGGUAAACGCAGAUACGUGUAUCUGUCUGAAAGUAUCGUACGAAUAAGGAUCGGCUAACUCCGUGCCAGCAGCCGCGGUAAUACGGAGGAUUCAAGCGUUAUCCGGAUUUAUUGGGUUUAAAGGGUGCGUAGGCGGAAUAUCAAGUCAGCGGUAAAAAUUCGGGGCUCAACCCCGUCGUGCCGUUGAAACUGAU